UGAGUCACAUGGGCUCAGCGGAGAACCCCUAGAUGGCUAACAAAGCAGUCCACAUCAAGCUCUUCUGCUGCAUACCAAUGAUUUUCUCCACAUAUACCAACCGAUAUGACAUGCCACAACUGAUUGAAUGAAGAAGCAGAUAGAAGAAUCUUGCUGUCUUCUAUUAAGCCAGCUAAAACAGAGAUUUUCAAAAAAUGUUUGAUCAAGGUAUUAUCUUCAAAUGUCACUUUCAUGGAAUGAUGUGGAGGUCCACAGGCCUGGAUCACAGGCUCUGCCAGUGGCUGUGAUGUUACCUGCUGUGGUCUUUCUCUCUUGCUUCGGGUAAGAGCUCUGCUUUGAACAUGUUCUAUGGGCUCAGAGGCACCUUUUCUCUCAGCAUUCUCCUGCCAAAUGCAGCAAAUAAAGGGGAUUAUAGAUGGGAGGUCAUGUGGUGCAUCAGGGUGUGUAUUUCCUUUCGUUGGGGAGAUUUCUGUACAUAUUACAGUGAAAUGAAGACAAAUUUCUCACUGCAUAAUGAAGGCAU